rfam:Triticum aestivum genome assembly, contig: Triticum_aestivum_CS42_TGACv1_scaffold_130918_2BL
CUUCUACUCCCUCCGUUCCAAAUUACUCGUCACAGAAAUGGAUGUAUCUAGAACUAAAAUACAUCUAAAUACAUCUAUACCUGCAACAAGUAAUUCGGAACGGAGGGAGUAGUUG